rnacentral:lncRNA from 1 species
GCUUACAGCACGAACAUAAUGUCACGGUAGAACUUUUGUUCUGAGAGUUAUAAUAAUCGAACCACCCAAACUUCCAUCAACCUCACGUACCAUGUCCUCAGAAUGACAAAAACGGCAACAACUUUUUCUGUAAUGCCUUCUUUGAGCUGUUAACAUCAGGGUUUCAGGGCAGUAUCUUCAUACUGUCAAAAGUGACAUUAGUAAAAAAAAAAACGCCGAUUUCACUCGAUAUAGCAUUCAUUUGCAUGAAUUCUGAAACUGGCCCAGUUUUGAAAGUGUUUCUGAAUUCAAUGCAUGGAAGGGCCAAAAUAACCAAAACUCUAGGCAGGGUAGAAUGCACAGAUAUAUUACAAAAAUGUCUAGUGGUUGCUAAGAGAUACUCCCUCUAUGUCAAAAUAUAAGACCUUUUUUGACAACAAAAAAACGUCUCAAUGCUCGUUGCCAAAUGAGAUGAAAUUGCUCCUGGUUGAAUAUUCAAACAAAGGGGGCAUGUUACAGACGACACACGCCAUUCCUUUAUACUCCCUCUGUCCAAAAAUACUUGUCGGAGAAAUGAAUGUAUCUAGACAUAUUUUAGUUUUAGAUAUAUUCAUUUUUAUCCAUUUUUCUGACAAGUAUUUUCGGACGGAGGGAGUACUAUUCUGGAAAAUAUAAACAAGCAAAGUAUGUGUUCACCAGUUACUCUAUAGCUACAAAUGUGGACGUAUUUCUUUCGGCCCCUCCCUCUCAGCCACCAUCUACACCAUUUCUCCAUCGCUACCCCUAUCCUCACCUGCAUAAUAAAGGAUAUAAAAAUACUUCUGAAUAUGUGCAUUUUGUUAUUUGGAUAAAGGCCAGAAAAUGUGUACAGUGUACAUGCCAACAGCAGGUUAACCUACAUACCUUAGAGAUUUGUUUUGAAAACAAAUCUACUACAGACCUGUCCCUCUCCAGAUAGAAGUAAAUUCAAAGGCAAUAUAUCUGCUCUGUAAUGACAUGUCACAUGAAAAAAAGUUAGGUUAGAAAAUAAGUAACAACAUUACGGUACAGGAUUCCUGAAUCUUUAUCUUUAUCUUUACCUCUUUACCUAAUAAUAAAGAGAAUUGGGUUUAUGUCGUACGUCGGCGGCGUUUUUACAGAAAAGUCCCUUUGUUUGUUGGUAAUUAACCCGCAGUCACGUGCAUAAGUGAAAAUAACGGUUCGUCGGGGAAAAAAAGGAGUCACCCGCAUCCACCCGCACCCGCUCGCAUCGCCCUCCUCUCCCUCCCUGCUGCAGCAGUCAGAGUUUGUGCUAAAAUUUCAGAUUCGAAUUAAUAGUCCCACCCCGCAACUUUACAUCAAAUCCUAGCAACUUAUAUACUUUCCAAAUUGCAAGAAUCAACAAGCCAACGAAAGAAGUGUGAGAUACAAUCAAUCAAAGAGGAACGGCGCAUGAAUCCAACAAAAAACAGUGGUCGCGGCGGCGAAUUUGACAUUCCUUCUAAUAAUCCUCAUGGAAACAGAGUUGAGAGAAUACAGAAAAACAUUGAUAC